GUCAGGACUAUAAAGUUGACCUUUCAUGAUUAAAUUCUUUAUGAUUCCGUUUCCGUGACGGUUUUGUGCGUCGGCAAGUGUUGGAAUUGUAUGCUUUACACUUGCACCUGCUGCGAUAUGAUAGGGGAAGCGAGAAGGAAACGUAUGUAUUCAAUAAUCGAAUCCGUAUAAUGAACACCAAGAGCAUCAUACAAAUUGCUUCGGCGAAAUAUCUGUGCGCACAUAGAUUUCAAACAGUAGUAAGACUAUAUGAAGGCUCAUGUGAGGUUGGCAAUAUGUAUUUGUAAGGUUAAGCAAGCGUGCAGUGUCUACGAAAAACUUGAUCGUACGCUCCACUUUUCCUUUCGCCGGCGACCUAUUUCACUUUCAUAUAUUAAGUAUAACAUAAACUUAUCAUAUUUACCCGAUGUAUUAUUGCGAUCAAAAGUAACCAAUAUCCUGAUAGCUGCGCUCAAUUUGAUGUAAAUUGCUCUUAUAAAUAUUGAAAAGUGAUCGGAUAAAUGUCAACUUAUAUGCAAAUAAACAUUGAAGCGUCACUCCAGGAUGAGAACGCCUUACGCCACUAGGAUACACGAAUGCGAAGUAAGAUACACAAUAGCUGACCAUAGGUCGCAAAUUGCGGAAUUGCUGAACGAUCAUAAGCCUUAUUACAAAGACUAUCUAAAAUCAGUGUUUCAAAGCAGUCCAUGCAGUUCAUUUUGGAACCGCAUUGUCUAGACGGUCUGUAGUCUAGAAGUUAACUGGCCUAACAUAAUGCUCGUGAAUACGCAGAGGACGAAGGUGCGGUUUGCGGUGGAUGUAGCAACAACAAUAACAAUAACAAUAACAACAACAACAACAACAAUAUACUGAGCAAAGACUACAUUUUAAAGUCUAUCUAUCAUC